rnacentral:rRNA from 1 species
UACGUAGGUGACAAGCGUUGUCCGGAUUUACUGGGCGUAAAGAGCGCGCAGGCGGUCGUUCAAGUCGAGUGCGAAAGCCCCCGGCUCAACUGGGGAGGGUCACUCGAUACUGAUCGACUCGAAGGCAGGAGAGGGAAGUGGAAUUCCCGGUGUAGUGGUGAAAUGCGUAGAUAUCGGGAGGAACACCAGUGGCGAAGGCGACUUCCUGGCCUGUUCUUGACGCUGAGGCGCGAAAGCUAGGGGAGCAAACGGG